ACCGGCGGACGGGUGAGUAACACGUGACCAACCUACCUUCGGGAGGGGGAUAACCUGGGGAAACCCGGGCUAAUACCGCAUGAUGCACUCUGGUCGCAUGACCUAGGUGUGAAAGGGGGCCUCUGCUUGCAAGCUCCUACCUGAAGAGGGGGUCGCGACGUAUCAGCUAGUUGGUAGGGUAACGGCCUACCAAGGCUACGACGCGUAGCGGGUCUGAGAGGACGACCCGCCACAUUGGGACUGAGAUACGGCCCAGACUCCUACGGGAGGCAGCAGUGGGGAAUAUUGCGCAAUGGCCGAAAGGCUGACGCAGCGACGCCGUGUGUGGGAGGAAGCCCUUCGGGGUGUAAACCACUGUCAGGGGGGAAGAAACCAGGUCGGACAAAUAGGCCGAUCUGCUGACGGUACCUCCAAAGGAAGCGCCGGCUAACUCCGUGCCAGCAGCCGCGGUAAGACGGAGGGCGCAAGCGUUG
rnacentral:rRNA from 1 species